rnacentral:rRNA from 1 species
AGCGAACGCUGGCGGCAGGCUUAACACAUGCAAGUCGAGCGGGCACUUCGGUGUCAGCGGCAGACGGGUGAGUAACACGUGGGAACGUGCCCUUCGGUUCGGAAUAACUCAGGGAAACUUGAGCUAAUACCGGAUACGCCCUUUGGGGAAGGGUUAACUUGCGAACGGAUCGGCCCGCCGUCUGAUUAGCUAGUUGGUGGGGUAAGUGGCCUACCAAGGACGACGAUCAGUAGCUGGUCUGAGAGGAUGAUCA